GGCCCAAACUAUUUCAAAAGUGCAAGUAACCCACCAAAAUAACUUUGCUUUCUUCCCUUACCUCAACUCCAACACAGUGCCGCUUGCCAGCCAUUUUCAGUCAAUUGGUCGGUUUCAUUAUCCUCCUUUUCAUAACAUUGCCUGCAGGUCUUGUUUGCUAAUGACAAGCUUAAUCCUCGCAACUCCGAUUGCUUCUCCAGCUUCUUCGACUGAAUCUGCAAAACGAAUAGUCUUGGGAAAUUGAAACAUUCUUCCUUCAGUUCCACAGAGCCAUGGGAAAUUGCUUAGUUCUUUAAGAAAAAGGUCAUCAAAGUCAUAAAAAUAGAAGGGGAAAUCCUUGAAUACAAAGUCCCAUUAGAAGUUCACCACGUUUUAUCAGAAUUUUCUCACCAUGUAAUAUCAGGUAAACUUCCAAUAGUACAGU
rnacentral:lncRNA from 1 species